GCUCCUGCUCGCUUGCCCCAUGCGCCCCCGCGGCGGUGCGAGGCCGUGUCGGCUGGGGAGCGGGUGGGGGGCGGCCGCGGCGGAGCCGCCACGGCGCCUCACUGGGCGUUGCUGGCCUUGCUGAGGCUGGAUGGCGGCUGCGCCUUGCGGAGGUGAAAGGAGGGGGCCAGGGGCGCUGAGGAGAGGCGGGGGCGGGGGGUUGCUUCUGUGCGUCGGGUCUGGCUUCGGCUCCAUAUGUGCUCAAGCUGCGGCCUCGGGUUUGGUGGCCACACAUCCCGUGUCCGUUCGCCAGAGCUGGCUCUCUGGGAGGCAGCAGCAGCCCGCGGCCUGACGUGCUACAGGUGUCCCCGCACCGCUCCUGAACCAGAGCGGGAGCCUCUGGUCCCUGCCAGCCCGGAGGGUCUCGGUCUGGUGCGGCUCCCCGUUUCCCCUCAGGUUACAUCUGCUGUGGGCAAGGCGUACCUGUCACAGAUGUCAGGCCUGCCGGCGUGGGUUUGCAGUAUAUCACAGCUUUGCCUAUAUGGUAUAGAACCAGUGAAGAAAACUAUGAACUCUUCACUUCCAGAAAACCUAUAUUUCUAGAAUAUGAAGGAACUUCAUUUAUUGAGUGGGAAUUUCCUGAUGUAUGUACUGCAGAAGAUAAAAGACCUAUCUGCAUCCCUUAUCUUCUCUGGGGACAAAAGGCAGCUGCUUAUAUACAGCUGCAGAAGAACUCGGCUUUCUUGCAGUAGUUUUGUAAUGACUAUUGAGUGCUUUUAUACCAAAUUCUGUAGUAUGAUUAAAGAUUAAAAAAUGUAUGGGACAAUCUUAACAGAUUUUAAUCUUACGUUAAAGGAGAGAUAAGAAA